rnacentral:tRNA from 1 species
GGGUGUGUAGUUCAGUGGUAGAGCACUUGCCUAGCAUGUGGGAAACCCUGGGUUUGAUCCCCAGCACCA